rnacentral:tRNA from 2 species
UCCGGCAUAGCUCAGCGGUAGAGUAGAUGACUGUUAAUCAUUUGGUCCGAGGUUCGAAUCCUCGUGCCGGAG